GGUCCGUUCGGAUCGUCGGAUGAAAAGGGAAUCGGGUGAAAAUCCCGGACAGUCCCGCUGCUGUGAGUUUCCAUGACGGAUGUAUCAAUCUGCUCUGCAAGCCACUGUUCUUGACAGAAGAAUGGGAAGGCGAUAUAUCCGGGAACGAGUCAGAAGACCUGCAAGGCAA
rnacentral:ncRNA from 1 species